rnacentral:lncRNA from 1 species
UCACUUGUAAAGAUAGUAUAGGUACCUUUCCUUCUAAUAUUUUAUCAACUAGUUGGAAGAUUCUUAUUGGUCAAAAUUUUAGAACCAACAAAUCAAUAUUAGAAUAUAUAGACAUAUUCAAUACUUUAUAACUCAAAGUAUAGAAUGUAUCUUUAACACUAGUAUCUCUAUCUUGUGUUGAAGUUAAAAUAGAAGAUUUUAUUGUAGAAUCAAUAUCUACAAGAUUAAUUGAUAAGGGCAAUUACACAUGAAUAUUAAAAUCUCCACAAUUAUUUGGUUGGCCAAACAACUUUUUAAUGCCUUAUUUAUUAUAGGUACCAUAUUUUUAGCUAUUAUUUGGACACAUAUUAUAGUUUCAACUACCAUUUGUUUCGAUAUAUGAAAUAUAUAAUUUUUUGGAAAAAAAAUUAUUCUACUUCUAAAUUUUUUAUGAAAUCUA